rnacentral:tRNA from 1 species
UGGAGUAUCGCCAAGCGGUAAGGCAGCGGGUUGGGGGGCGGGGGGGGGGGGGGUCGAAUCCUGGUACUCCAGCCA